UGCUCACUAGGUUCCCUCAGCCUUCAACACCUUGAGAGCUUCUUUGGAGGCCCUAGCAGGGGUGCACAGCUACUUAUAUACCCUUGGCUGAAGACCAGUCCUCUCUGUCGGAGAUGGUCUUAAGUGCAGCUUUGGGAGCGACGCGCACAGAGUGGUGAGGGAGGAAGGGGACACCUGCCCAGCCAGCCAGAUCAGCCGAAUCAACUUUGGCCAUCAGUGGGGUGACAGAUGUCACAGCCAGAUCACCCUCACAUUCCCCUAGUCUUGAAUACCUUUCCCCAUCUUCUUCACCUGGCACUUUUUCUUGUGGCAGGAGAUGGCAGGAUGAGAUUGUGGUCUUCCAUCCACGCAGCUCCCCCUUCAUCAUGUGUUCUCCACAUACCAGCUACCUUUUGCCUUCUGACAUGAACAGAAGCAGCCUGCAGUCCUCACCAGAAGCAGAUGCUGGUGCCAUGCUUCUUGUACAGCCGGCAGAACUAGCUCAGUUGAUCAUGGAUAACUGACACAAGGAAAGUAAAAGUGGGUGAGAGACGCCUGCUGAAUUGGGAAAUUGUUAGACAACAUUCUGCAGUGGCUGAACAGUGGAACACCAUGUUGUCAUUUCAGUGCUAUACAAGAACAUUAACUGAUGUGGAAAGCUGUCCAUUAUAAUAAAGUUCAAAAAGAACUUGCAAAAUA